rnacentral:lncRNA from 1 species
AGGGAUCGACCCGGAGAGCUUGUUAUCGUUCAGAAUUAAGUUGUUGAGAAACUUACAGUUGACGAUCUCUGGAGGUAUGGAGCCGGUGAGAGAGUUACUUGAGAGAUCUAACGUCACAACGAAAGGGAGCCAGCUGCAGAUUUGCGGAGGUAAGCUUCCGGAUAGAGCGUUGUUUGAGAGAUCCAAGGACUGGAGGCUCUUGCAGUACUUGAGCGAGUCAGGGAGUUGACCGGCGAGCUGGAAGUCAGGGAGCUGGAGGUUGAUGAUCCGAUUCUCUCGCUCGUUCCAGCAGGUGACGCCGUUGAGCUGGCAGACGGCGCCGACGGAGUUGUUGUUGAGGUUCCAGUUGAGCUGGUUCUGAGGAUCGAGCGCCUUCUUCACGCCUUCUAAGCACAUGAGGUCGUCUUCGAUGGCGGAGGCGACGAAGAGAAGGAGAGAAGUCGUCGUCAGGAGCAGGAUCGAGGAGAAAGACGACAUCUUUAGCUUCUCCAUUGUGUUGGUUGAUUUGGGGAAAUGGAGGAUUCGGGAUUAGGGUUAGGAGGAAGGAAAUGGAGGGGCAGCCAUUGACUGAGCUGGGGAAAAAAAGAUGAGGAGGGAGGAUGAUGAAGAGGCAGCCAGCAGCUUAGCUAAGCUUUGUUGAAUGUUGACUCUCUUGUUUUCUUCUAUGGAGUCGGAUUCUUUCCUUUUUCUUUUCUUUCUUUCUGUUCAAUUUUAUCCCAUUUUCGUCGAUUUAACUUUUUACCCGCGGUGACGAGUUAAUUAAUUGAUUUUGUUACCGCUUCUAAUUAGUAAUUAGCCGCCUUAAUGUUUGUUCUCAUACAUAUAAAUAUUUAAUAAUAAUCAUAAACGAUGUUGACUUUGUGUAUGUUAGGAAUAAAGAGUCGUAGUUGCUCAUAUUUAAUUUGUAAUUUCUCUUAAAUAAAAUAUCGCAUUUCGUUGUUUUCAACUACUUGAUUAAGUACCAAAUAUACAUAUAUCAAAUAAUAUUAAUCAAACUUGUACCAAAUAUAUUUCCACAUUCAUUCAGCCUGCUAAGGAGUUGAUGAGUUGGUGAGUUGGUUUGGGUUUGGCUAAUUUGGUUGGUUGGAAAGUUGAAGAUUCAGCCUCAGGGUGAAAAGAGUACAAUUGAUUAUGAGUAUCCUUUGUUAGAAUUGGUACCGCCCAACUUACAGUCCAAUUCAUGGGGAAAUUGCCACCCACCAGAGGAAAAUCUGACUACCAACACAGAGAUUAGAAAGAACAAAGAUGUGUUUAGAUUGAGAAAUUUGGACUGCUAAAUUAAUGACCUUUGAACUUUGAAGAGGAUUAGACAUUACCCUAUAGGCUUUUUUGUGUGAAGAGACUUGGGAUUUUGGAGUGAGUUGCAAGUCACCUAAUUUGUGGAUCAAUUCAAGGCGAGUAAAACCUAGUGAAGAUCGAAUUUGGUUUAGUGUGGAUCAUGCAAAUGAGAGAAGACCGAUAAUUUCAACUCGGGUUGGAUGACAAGUCGGUAAUGAAAGUAAAUUGAGUUUGAACGGGAGAGUAUAAACUUUUGUUUACAUGCAUAUCUUGUGCGUAGGAUGUUUGUAGGAUAAAAGUAUGGGAUAGUGUAUAAGAAUUGAAUAGGUGACAGAUGAGUUAGAUCAAAUGAACAAGAGAUAGAAUCCAGUUAAGUGUAAAUAAUGCAAAUGAGAGAAUAACGAUAAUUUCAUACAUCACGAAAGUAAAGCGAGUUUGAACUAGAGAGUACCAACUUUAAUUUGUUUACGUGUAUAUCACCUAAUUAUUUGACAAAUGUCUUGUAGGGUAUAUUUGUUUGAUCUCUAUCGUAAUUAAGUGUCUUUCACGUAUGAACUUAGAAUUUUCAACAAACUCAUCACUUUCUCUGGAUGUCUAUUCAUCAAGUUACCAACACUUUUUAGAUUAAUAGCAACAUAUUAAUGACUCUCUUGAUUGACUACCAUAAAGUACUACAUAGAUUAAUUUCUCACACAACCAUUAGUUGUAUACAGAAAUGGUCACCUCGUUACAACAGUUCAUCAAUUCUCUGCACUUAUAUACAGAGACACCAACCAGAGUACGCCCAAUGAGUCAUGGAACAAACAUUUCGUCCAUGGAAGUAGAUAGCUAGCCUAGCAUAGUGAAGACAAUAUCCAAAAGAAUCCCGACACUGAAUAUUGGGACCUCCAUGCAUGCACCAAGGGGAUCUUUGAUAAUCUUUUGGCUCUGCAAUUCCAAGAGGGGCACACAGUAUAACUAUUCAACUGGCCACUGUGUACGUGUACCAAACCAAAAAGGGACAGUGGAAUCAGAAUAUGUGUGAGAAAUUUAAAGUUAUGGUGGAUCUUCACCUUCUUUUCCCCCUUCUGUUGUCACCAUUCGAGUUCAUUUAUUCUUCAAAGGAUAUAUGAUAGUGGAGGAGAAUGUUCACUAACAUAUUCUUCCUUUUGCCAACUUUGGAAUGUUCAAAGUUUGUGUGUUACUUCUUACAUAAUUAACAAUCAUACCAUGGAAAAAAUUAUUUGUCAUGUUUAGUCGAUUAAAUUCAGAUAAAUAACGAACAAUAAUAUCACAAAAAUCAACCAAGCUCGCAAGUAAUUAGCUUUAAUCUAGUUCGUCGAGGCCUCUAGAGGCAUUAGUAAAUUCAUACAAGCUAUAAUCUAGAAAUCCACUAACAAUAACAAUUAAAAUUAAAAAAAUUAAUUUUAUUUGGCUAUUAUUUAAAGGAUUUAACAUAGUGAAACCUCAACUUUUAGCCAUUUCCAACAUCCAUGUUAAAUAUUAGCCAAUUUGAAAAUUUGAAAAUUUUCAUAUCAAAAUUGGUCAAUUUUCAAAAGGGUUAACCUGUAGAAAAUGAGCCAUUUUGAUAAGAAAAUUUCAAAAUUUUAAAUAGACUAAUAUUUGACAUGUUAGAAAAUGCUAAAAAAUCAAGUUUCAUUAUAAUAACUUCUAUAAAUAAUUGUCAAAUGAAGUGAAAAAUCCAUUUUACUUGGUGUUAUGUUAGUGUUGAAAUUUUUUAAAUUGGCUUACAUUUUUCAAUUUCGACCAUACACAAUAUCUAUAGGUACCAAAUCAUUUUAUCAUAUAUUUCACCACGUACAAACAGUAAUAAAACACACGAGUCGGUACGUUUCAACUCCGUUAAUAAUAUUAUGAGCCGAAGCCCGUGAGCAGCAUUUGACGUUUAGCAAAUGGGCCGACAAUCCCGAUUCAUGAUCGGCCCGAAGUCUGGGGGGCGUAAGGAGAAGAUAAAUUUGUAGGGAUCGGUGAAUUUAAAAUUUUAAACGCAGCCUUUGACACGUCAUCCGUGACUGGAUGAUCUCAUUUUCAAAUUGGACUCUCUGGUUCCAAGCCACCACCAAAUCGCAAACCCAAGAACAAUCGAGGCAGUAGCUCCGGCAACACCUGCAGCGAUAAUAAUUCCUAUGCUCUUAGUCUUACUACUCAAUCCACCGCGAUCCAACGGCCGACCGCGCAGCUUCCUGUUCCCUUCGAAAUCUCCCACGGGGAAAGUGGCCAGAUCCGCCGGAAUCGACCCGGAGAGAUCGUUGUUCACGACGGAAAACUUCUUCAGCCGGUCCAACCGACCUAGACCGUAAGGGAUCGACCCGGAGAGCUUGUUAUCAUUCAGAAUUAAGUUGUUGAGGAACUUGCAGUUGACGAUCUCUGGAGGUAUGGAGCCGGUGAGAGAGUUACUCGAGAGAUCUAAGGUCACGACGAAAGGGAGCCAGUUGCAGAUUUGCGGAGGUAAGCUUCCGGAUAGAGCGUUUUUUGAGAGAUCCAAGGACUGGAGGCUCUUGCAGUACUUGAGCGACUCAGGGAGUUGACCGACGAGCUGGAAGUCAGGGAGCUGGAGGUUGAUGAUCCGAUUCUCCCUCUCGUCCCAGCAGGUGACGCCGUUGAGCUGGCAGAUUGCGCCGGCGGAGUUGUUGUUUAGGUUCCAAUUGAGCUUGUUCUGAG